CUUAAUUCCUCAUCGGGACACAACUGUAUAUCCCAGAGGUGCAUUUGCUCCAUACCCAGAUCAUUGGGAGAUAUGGGACUGUUGGAUUGCUGUAAAAUCCACCCCACCACUAAGGAUUUUACACACUAUUCUGCACUUCAUGACCAAUAUGCCCGCAUCGAUUAACUCUUUAUUAAAUAGGAAGGCCUCUCACAAUUGCUGAAAGCCACAAUUAAACCCGCUAUGUGGUCAG